AAGAAGAGGAAGAAGCUGUGGAUUCAGCUUUUCACUUGAUUCUUGUAAUUUCUUUGAAUUGACCGCUUAAAAACGAAAAAUAAAUCUAUUUCGGUUUUAAUUUUCU
rnacentral:ribozyme from 14 species